CACCCAGGGUAGAAGCACUGUGCCAUUCAAGCAUUCCUGAUGGCUGGAGAGCCAUCCUCAAAGUGGCACUGGCAAACAGGCCCCUGUAAUCAAGCCCAUCCUUGGCAACUCUUCACUGGAAACUCUUUUGACAUCCAUCAAGUUACUCUCUUCAUUAAUGCCUUAAUAAGUCUUCAGAAUCAAAGAACAACUUAAAAAUAAACAUAAUUUCAGAGGCCAGAGC
rnacentral:lncRNA from 1 species